AUGUGUAGUCAGGUUACUCUAUCGGAGGAGCCUGACAGAGUUAAAUGGCUUUUAACUAAAUCUAGAUCCUUCUCGGUUAAGUCACUUUAUCAUUACCUUAUAGCUAGAGUUGUUGCUUUUCCUUUUCAACUUCUUUGGAGGUUGAGAAUACCUCUAAAAGUAAAAGCGUUUAUAUGGUUAGUGAUCAAAGGGAGGAUCCUAACCAAGGAUAACUUAUCUAGACGAGGAUGGAAAGGACCAAAUUUCUGCGAGUUUUGUGGCGUUUCUGAGAGCAUUGAUCAUCUAUUCUUUUCGUGUUCUUGUGCUAGGUUUUUAUGGAAUGUGAUAUGCGGUACACUAGGUAACCCGAAAUUACGUUUAUCUUUCUUUGAUCUUUGUCAAAACUGGAUACCAUCCUAUUCUGGAAAGGAUAGGGCUAUUGUUUCUAUUGGUGCUGCUGCUUUGAUAUGGACAAUUUGGAAAACAAGGAACAAAUCCUGUUUUCAACGUGUUUUCCUUUAA
rnacentral:rRNA from 1 species